rnacentral:rRNA from 1 species
AUUGAACGCUGGCGGCAGGCCUAACACAUGCAAGUCGAGUGGAUGAAGGGAGCUUGCUCCUGGAUUCAGCGGCGGACGGGUGAGUAAUGCCUAGGAAUCUGCCUGGUAGUGGGGGAUAACGUCCGGAAACGGGCGCUAAUACCGCAUACGUCCUGAGGGAGAAAGUGGGGGAUCUUCGGACCUCACGCUAUCAGAUGAGCCUAGGUCGGAUUAGCUAGUUGGUGGGGUAAAGGCCUACCAAGGCGACGAUCCGUAACUGGUCUGAGAGGAUGAUCAGUCACACUGGAACUGAGACACGGUCCAGACUCCUACGGGAGGCAGCAGUGGGGAAUAUUGGACAAUGGGCGAAAGCCUUAUCCAGCCAUGCCGCGUGUGUGAAGAAGGUCUUCGGAUUGUAAAGCACUUUAAGUUGGGAGGAAGGGCAGUAAGUUAAUACCUUGCUGUUUUGACGUUACCAACAGAAUAAGCACCGGCUAACUUCGUG